UGUGGAGAGGAAGAUGCGAGCACACGAUUGUCCUGGGUGAUGACUUGGCUCAGCCACGGUCUUUGGCUUUAGAUCCGCUAAAUGGGUUAAUGUACUGGUCUGAAAUCGGAGGAGAACCUCAAAUAGAACAAGCAGGGAUGGACGGUAGUGGCAGGAAAGUCCUCAUCAGUCAAGGUCUUGGCUUGCCAACCAGCAUAGCUCUCGACCGGUUGAGCUGGAAGAUAUUCUGGUCUGAUGACAAAUUUCACUGUAUUGGCUCUGCUAAUCUGGAUGGUACUGGUGUUAGCAUGUUGCAGCUAACACAAAUCAGG